AUGGCCCAAGUGCUUGGGCCCUGCACCCCAUGGGAGACCAGGAUAAGUACCUGGCUCCUACCAUCGGAUCAGCGCGGUGCGCUGGUUGCAGCGCGCCGGCUGCGGCGGCCAUUGGAGGGUGAACCAACGACAAAGGAAGACCUUUCUCUCUGUCUCUCUCUCUCACUGUCCACUCCUGCCUGUCGGCAUAGUCAGAAAAUGAAAAAAACAAGAUCGCGCCCUUGGGCAGGCAGGUGGGGCGUGAAGUGUCCCGCCCCCUGGCGCCGCCUGGCGCCUGGCAGCGGCCAAGCACUCGGUUUCCAGGGAAGCCGCAGGAUCUCUCCCGGGCUGCUCCACCGGGCCAAGCGUCUGUACUUUACAGAGCCCUGUCGCCCACAGGUCCCCCUGAGGACCAAGGGACCUCCUUUCCUGCCAGUCUGCGUCCUGCGCCGCGCUCUGGGCUGCGCCCGACGGCCCCCGCCGCGAGGUCAUCGGGAUUCCUCAGAGCCCGAGCCCCACGGUCACCGCAGCCUCCCUAAAGGCUCUUCUCCCCGCGCCCAGCCCCUUGGCGGCCACUGCUCCGCAGCCUCCGGCCGAGACCAACCCUGGCUGCCUUCUGCAGGGCCCUGGACGCCACGGGCAUCGUGCACGCCUGCUGCUGCUGUCAGAAUCCACGUGGACGCUAACACUGUUAAGACCAUGCCAAGAACAAAGGGAGGGAAACGGAAAACGAAAGGGGCACCGCUGCCCAUCGCUCUGAUUCUGCAGAAGCUCCUGAAAACGUACGAGAAGCACUGUGCACAAUCCCAGACGUCCAUGUGCCCAGCCGUCAGACGGGACCUGAAAAGCAGCAUCAACAGUGAGCAGGUUCUCAGGAAGUUCAUGCUCGUAAGACCCAGUGACCCCCGGACAAGCGUCCUACCCAUCUCCUUGGAACCUUUGCUCAUGGCGAUCCGAGACGAGAGCUACACGCUGGGAAAGGAGAUGUGCAUCUGGGGCCUUCGGCUGAGCAACCCCGAGGUUGCCAGACUCGCUUUGCUUCUGGAAUUGAAGGGCCACGCCGUCUGCCCUUUUACUGCCUUGAAGAUCAUCGAUUGCAAGAUGGACCCCUGGUCCCUCAGGCGGCUGGGGAAGGCUCUGCAGCUCUGCAGCUUGCGUUCUCUCGUCCUCGAUUACUGCAAGUUCGGAAAGGAAGAAAUGGAGAGUGUUUUCUCAGGCCUGGAGAACCACCAAAGCCUAAAAGGGCUCAGUCUGCGAUACUGUGGUCUGGGGCCAGAGAGCGGACAGAGGCUGGGCUCUGUGGUCAGCCAAAGUGCCAUCAGAGAGCUGUACCUUGAUGGAAAUCAUUUGCAAUGUUCCGGAGCCCUGGCUCUCCUCAGACCCCUGGCAGAUUUUGCAGAGAUGCAGGGGACAGACCAGCCAGCCCCAGGCUCACCCGACACCAGAGGCCCCCCUCAGCUGCUCCAAGACAACCAGAGUGGAAGUUCCACUUCAAACCAGAUUACAAAAUCCUCUGAAGCUGUCACAGUGAAAACUACUUUGGAGAAGAAAAAAAGAAAAAAAGGAAUCAAGAAAAAAGCUAACGGUUCCACUGAAGCUGGCCCGUGGUUAGUGAAGUUGCACUUGGCAGAUAACGGCAUAGAUGGAAAAGGAAAAGAGGGAGCAAAUGACCUGUUGGAAUUCACUCACAGCUUAACAUGCCUGAUCAGACACUCUGCCUACUUAAGGGAACUUGACCUUGGAAACAAUGGCCUGGGAGAAACGGUGGCUGUUGACAUCCUUGGAGCCCUGAGAGCCAGGAAGACAGGUAAGCUUCCAGUCUUAAAAAUUACAGUCACUCCCCAGAUCUCUUCAGACACCUUCAGAGGUAUUUGGAAAAAUAGUAAGAAAUCUAGCACCACCAGCAAAAAGAAGAAAAAGGUAUGUUCUCUGAUGUCUUUGUCAGUGACAGCCACCAUGGGGCGCUGUGUGGUGCCUGGGCACACUGUUGGGGGGGAUGGCACCAUCAGCUGUAGACUUUGCACUGGAAAACAGCAGAAUUUAAGUUCUUGGUCACACUCCUCCACUUGA
ensembl:lncRNA